GGAGGAGGUGUGAGCUGAACUCUGAGAGACGAAUAAACAUCUGCCCAGGGGCCGCGCAAAGAACUUCCUGAGUGGGACCCUUCAGAGUCUGCAGUGUUGUGCAAAAGAAAAAUGACAUGGAAACCCCAAAACUGCCUUUCUGAAGUGUCAGUCCUACUGGGCAUGGUGGAGGGGCUGGAAAGAGAGAAGAGGCUGAGUCCCCAGUUCAAAGUGGCCUGUGUCCCCUCUGCUGUUUUGUACACUGAAUGACAGCCAAAAAGACGUCUCUGGUUAUCUGCUGUGAAACAUUCUGAUCAGGCCCACCAGUGAAUGGCUGCAGGAAAGAAGAAAUUAACACAUUCUGGCCAUAACCAAGACUUCCUCCCUCCCUUUUAGUACAAAAGAAGCCUGAACUCUAACUUGGGGAAGAUGGUUCUUUGGGACACAAGUCCAUCAUCUUCUCAGUCUGCUGGCUUUCUGAAUAAAGUUGCUAUCCUUGCCCCAA